CAAAAAAUAGUUUAUAUAAAAUAUUAAUUUUGGAAAUUAAAGAUGAAUAAUAUUCUUUUUUGA
rnacentral:tRNA from 1 species